UUUCUCUUUCGCGGGAUUAGAGUUUGGGGACGAUAGGGAGUGAGCAUGGCACAAGAGAGAGAAGAAGAGAGCCUUCAACGCCAAUUCCCUCGUGCGCGAUUUGGGAGGGGGAAACAACAGUGAUUGAGAGCCGUAAUAGGAAAGAGAGAUAGAGGUUUUGGUGGUAGGCGUGGGGGGCACGAUUCCUUGAGAGUGAGGUAGAAUGAAAGAGAGGAGAAGAAAGAAGAGUUACCGUGAAGAGGGUUGUGAGAAAAGAGAAAGCGUAGUGGGCAAGCGUUUCACUGCAAGAGCGAUAGAAGAUGGAGAGCCUUAGGUGUUGAGGGUUUGGCCGUGGGAGGAGCUAGAACCAAUCAAGCUGAUGAACAAGUUUUCUAUUAUUUGGUAUUCUGUUAUGAAUUGGAAUCAGGCCCUGUCUCGGUGGUAUUGGAUUUUAGGUAUUGUCUUUUUCGUUAUCAUGUUUAGGCAUGAAUAUAUUCUAAAUUGACCAAAAAAUGAUAUCUUAAUCUACAUUUUAUAAUUUCAUCUAUGUUAAACUUGAUGUAGAGGUAAGUUAAUGCAUUUGAAUGUUGGUUGGUUA